rnacentral:tRNA from 1 species
AUUUAUAUAGUUUAAAUUUAAAACCCCCCAUUUUCAAUGAGGAAAUAAGAAACUAUUCUUUAUAAAUA